rnacentral:rRNA from 1 species
CAAUAGCGUAUAUUAAAGUUGUUGCGGUUAAAAAAGCUCGUAGUUGGAUUUCUGCUUAGGACAACCGGUCCGCCCUCAGGGUGAGCAUCUGGUUUGGCCUGGGCAUCUUCUUGGGGAACGUAGCUGCACUUGACUGUGUGGUGCGGUAUCCAGGACUUUUACUUUGAGGAAAUUAGAGUGUUUCAAGCAGGUAAUCGCCUUGAAUACAUUAGCAUGGAAUAAUAAGAUAGGACCUCGGUUCUAUUUUGUUGGUUUCUAGAGCUGAGGUAAUGAUUAAUAGGGAUAGUUGGGGGCAUUCGUAUUUAAUUGUCAGAGGUGAAAUUCUUGGAUUUAUGAAAGAUGAACUUAGGCGAAAGCAUUUACCAAGGAUGUUUUCAUUAAUCAAGAACGAAAGUUAGGGGAUCGAAGAUGAUUAGAU